GUGCGGAACACGUGUGCAACCUGCCUUUAUCAGGGGGAUAGCCUUUCGAAAGGAAGAUUAAUACCCCAUAAUAUAUUGAAUGGCAUCAUUUGAUAUUGAAAACUCCGGUGGAUAGAGAUGGGCACGCGCAAGAUUAGAUAGUUGGUGAGGUAACGGCUCACCAAGUCAGUGAUCUUUAGGGGGCCUGAGAGGGUGAUCCCCCACACUGGUACUGAGACACGGACCAGACUCCUACGGGAGGCAGCAGUGAGGAAUAUUGGACAAUGGGUGAGAGCCUGAUCCAGCCAUCCCGCGUGAAGGACGACGGUUCUAUGGAUUGUAAACUUCUUUUAUACUGGGAUAAACCUACCCUCGUGAGGGUAGCUGAAGGUACAGUAUGAAUAAGCACCGGCUAACUCCGUGCCAGCAGCCGCGGUAAUACGGAGGGUGCAAGCGUUAUCCGGAUUUAUUGGGUUUAAAGGGUCCGUAGGCGGAUCUGUAAGUCAGUGGUGAAAUCUCAUAGCUUAACUAUGAAACUGCCAUUGAUACUGCAGGUCUUGAGUAAAGUAGAAGUGGCUGGAAUAAGUAGUGUAGCGGUGAAAUGCAUAGAUAUUACUUAGAACACCAAUUGCGAAGGCAGGUCACUAUGUUUUAACUGACGCUGAUGGACGAAAGCGUGGGGAGCGAACAGGAUUAGAUACCCUGGUAGUCCACGCCGUAAACGAUGCUAACUCGUUUUUGGGUUUUCGGAUUCAGAGACUAAGCGAAAGUGAUAAGUUAGCCACCUGGGGAGUACGUUCGCAAGAAUGAAACUCAAAGGAAUUGACGGGGGCCCGCACAAGCGGUGGAUUAUGUGGUUUAAUUCGAUGAUACGCGAGGAACCUUACCAAGGCUUAAAUGGGAAUUGACAGGUUUAGAAAUAGACUUUUCUUCGGACAAUUUUCAAGGUGCUGCAUGGUUGUCGUCAGCUCGUGCCGUGAGGUGUUAGGUUAAGUCCUGCAACGAGCGCAACCCCUGUCACUAGUUGCCAUCAUUCAGUUGGGGACUCUAGUGAGACUGCCUACGCAAGUAGAGAGGAAGGUGGGGAUGACGUCAAAUCAUCACGGCCCUUACGCCUUGGGCCACACACGUAAUACAAUGGCCAGUACAGAGGGCAGCUACCAGGCGACUGGAUGCGAAUCUC
rnacentral:rRNA from 1 species